rnacentral:tRNA from 2 species
GGCCCGUUCGUCUAGCGGUUUAGGACACCGCCCUCUCAAGGCGGAGAUCGAGGGUUCGAAUCCCUUACGGGCUACCA